rnacentral:misc_RNA from 1 species
GAUGAAGAACGCAGCGAAAUGCGAUAAGUAAUGUGAAUUGCAGAAUUCAGUGAAUCAUCGAAUCUUUGAACGCACAUUGCGCCCGCCAGUAUUCUGGCGGGCAUGCCUGUUCGAGCGUCAUUUCAACCCUCAAGACCCCUUCGGGGGACUUGGUGUUGGGGACCGGCACAGGGGCCUGCCUGCUUGUCUUGCAGCGCCCUCGCCGCCCCCGAAAUGAAUUGGCGGCCUCGUCGCGGCCUCCCCUGCGUAGUAGCACAAACCUCGCAACGGGAACGUGACGGCGGCCACUGCCGUAAAACAACCCAAUUUUAUUAGAGUUGACCUCGAAUCAGGUAGGAAUACACGCUGAACUUAAGCAUAUCAAUAAGCGGAGGA